rnacentral:lncRNA from 10 species
CUGCUUCGUUUACCUAAGGAAGCCUGGGCAAUGGCGGGCGCCCCUCCCCCAGCCUCGCUGCUGCCUUGCAGUUUGAUCUCAGACCGCUGUGCUAGCAAUCAGCGAGACUCCGUGGGCGUUGGACCCCCCGAGCCAGAUGUGGGAUAUAAUCUCGUGGUGCGCCGUUUUUUAAGCCUGUCAGAAAUGCGCAGUAUUCGGGUGGGAGUGACCCGAUUUUCCAGGUGCCGUCCGUCACCCCUUUAUUUGACUAGGAAAGGGAACUCCCUGACCCCUUGCACUUCCCGAGUGAGGCAAUGCCUCGCCCUGCUUUGGCUCGCGCACGGUGCGUGCACCCACUGACCUGCGCCCACUGUCUGGCACUCCCUAGUGAGAUGAACCCGGUACCUCAGGUGGAAAUGAAGAAAUCACCCGUCUUCUGCGUCGCUCAGGCUGGGAGCUGUAGACCGGAGCUGUUCCUAUUCGGCCAUCUUGGCUCCUCCCCGUGACUUUCAAAUAAAACUGAGGCCUUGGCAGAAGGGCUUGAAGAGAACCUUUGCAAAAGGUCUCAGACAAAGAGAUUGAAGAAUGA